UUGAUCUAGAAUUCAUAAACAUAGGAAAGGAGAUGGAAGCUGCAUUUGAGAAUUUGAAUAAUGACUCUAUGAGUCUUGAAGCUCAGUGAUGGAAGCACUUUGGGUUAUACGAACAAGGUGGUCUCGUGAAGAUGUUUAUUAAUUCAUACCUUCACAAUUGUAAACUCUGUUGUUUGCGUAAGGAUUUGAAGGGCUAGUAGCUUCUCUACUAUCAACUCUUUAAUCCCGCUAUAUGUGUCCUCAGAAGAUUUUUAGUUUAUUUUCCUUUGUUUUCUGUUUUCCGUUUUUAAGUAAUAUACUUUAUGUGCAGUUUUUACUUUUUAUCCAAGUGAGGAUAUAUGUUUUUCUCUCCUAGGUACAAAUUAAAGAACUAACUAUACUUUAUUUAGCUUUUGAUUAUCAUUUGGGAGAUGGACAAGCUUGUGUUGUCACCAUUAUCGUUGCCUUUGAUUAUUUAUUCUCAUGGUUUCCAUUUUCAUUUUUAGUGUGAACUGUGAGAAUUUAUAUAUUUAAUUUCGAUCUUCCUUCACUUUA